ACAAUGAUACUCCUGCCCAGCCACAGCCCUGCUACGCAGGAUCACGCAAUGGGGGCAGCUCGGAGAGAACCUCGGAGGGGUGAGACGCCCGUGA
rfam:Oscillibacter sp. 1-3 genomic scaffold acPPL-supercont1.4, whole genome shotgun sequence.